rnacentral:rRNA from 1 species
GAUGAACGCUGGCGGCGUGCCUAAUACAUGCAAGUCGAGCGAACGGACGAGAAGCUUGCUUCUCUGAUGUUAGCGGCGGACGGGUGAGUAACACGUGGAUAACCUACCUAUAAGACUGGGAUAACUUCGGGAAACCGGAGCUAAUACCGGAUAAUAUUUUGAACCGCAUGGUUCAAAAGUGAAAGACGGUCUUGCUGUCACUUAUAGAUGGAUCCGCGCUGCAUUAGCUAGUUGGUAAGGUAACGGCUUACCAAGGCAACGAUGCAUAGCCGACCUGAGAGGGUGAUCGGCCACACUGGAACUGGGACACGGUCCAGACUCCUACGGGAGGCAGCAGUAGGGAAUCUUCCGAAAUGGGCGAAAGCCUGACGGAGCAACGCCGCGGGAGGGAUGAAGGUCUUCGGAUCGUAAAACUCUGUUAUUAGGGAAGAACAUAUGUGUAAGUAACUGUGCACAUCUUGACGGUACCUAAUCAGAAAGCCACGGCUAACUACGU